CCUACGGGUGGCUGCAGUGGGGAAUAUUGGGCAAUGGGCGCAAGCCCGACCCAGCAACGCCGCGUGAAGGAAGAAGGCUUUCGGGUUGUAAACUUCUUUUCUGAGGGACGAAGAAAGUGACGGUACCUCAGGAAUAAGCCCGGCUAACUACGUGCCAGCAGACGCGGUAAUACGUAGGUGGCAAGCGUUAUACGGAUUUAUUGGGUGUAAGGGGCGUGUAGGCGGGAAAGCAAGUAAGAUGUGAAAACUCAGGGCUCAACCCUGAGCCUGCAUUUGAAACUGUUGUUCUUGAGUGCUGGAGAGGCGAUCGGAAUUCCGUGUGUAGAGGUGAAAUGCGUAGAUAUACGGAGGAACACCAGUGGCGAAGGCGGAUUGCUGGACAGUAACUGACGCUGAGGCGCGAAAGCGUGGGGAGCAAACAGGAUUAGAUACCCUAGUAGUC
rnacentral:rRNA from 1 species